AAUGAAGUGCCUGAAUAAAGGGUUAUCAUGAUAGGAUAAAUAAUGUAAUUUUAUUACCUUCAUUA
rnacentral:tRNA from 1 species